rnacentral:rRNA from 1 species
CAACGCGCAAGAACCUUACCGUGGGCUUGAAAUCUGUGGAAUCUGUAUGAAAGUAUGGGGUGCCCUUCGGGGAGCCGCAAGACAGGUGCUGCAUGGCUGUCGUCAGCUCGUGUCGUGAGAUGUUGGGUUAAGUCCCGCAACGAGCGCAACCCUUGUCUUCAGUUGCCAGCACGUAAAGGUGGGAACUCUGAAGAUACUGCCCCGGUUAACGGGGAGGAAGGUGGGGAUGACGUCAAGUCCUCAUGGCCCUUAUGUCCAGGGCGACACACGUGCUACAAUGGCCGGCACAGCGGGAAGCGAGGCAGUGAUGUCGAGCGGAUCCCUUAAAGCCGGUCUCAGUUCGGAUUGAAGUCUGCAACUCGACUUCAUGAAGCUGGAAUCGCUAGUAAUCGCAGAUCAGCCAAGCUGCGGUGAAUACGUUCCCGGGCCUU